UACGUAGGGUGCGAGCGUUAAUCGGAUUUACUGGGCGUAAAGGGCGCGUAGGCGGACAGUUUAGUCAGAGGUGAAAGCCCAGGGCUCAACCUUGGAAUUGCCUUUGAUACUGGCUGUCUUGAGUACGGGAGAGGUGAGUGGAACUCCGAGUGUAGAGGUGAAAUUCGUAGAUAUUCGGAAGAACACCAGUGGCGAAGGCGACUCACUGGCCCGUUACUGACGCUGAGGCGCGAAAGCGUGGGGAGCAAACAGG
rnacentral:rRNA from 1 species